CCCUUAGAUGUUCUGGGCCGCACGCGCGCUACACUGACGAAUGCAACGAGCUUAUAACCUUGGCCGAAAGGUCUGGGUAAUCUCCAAAUUUCGUCGUGUUGGGGAUAGAUUAUUGCAAUUAUUAAUCUUCAACGAGGAAUGCCUAGUAAGCGCAAGUCAUCAGCUUGCGUUGAUUACGUCCCUGCCCUUUGUACACACCGCCCGUCGCUCCUACCGAUUGAAUGGUCCGGUGAAGCGUUCGGACCGUGGCCUUUGGACGGUUCGCCGUCUGUUGGCUGCGGGAAGUUCGUUAAACCUUAUCAUUUAGAGGAAGGAGAAGUCGUAACA
rnacentral:rRNA from 1 species